UUAAAAAAUCUGCCUUCAGGGCUUUCUUUAGAAGGGCAUAUUUGUAUUGCAUGAACCAGAAGAGCCUUCAAGAGGAAAUCGAAUACAUUUAUAAUGUAGGCAGACAACAUGGUUACAUAAUAGGUUUUGUUAAAUCUAUACAAAACAUGGUGCGCUGGAUCCUAGAACAACGAAUGCAAAGCUCAUGCAGGACAAAUCAAGACGAAAACCAAGAACAAAGCUACAUCCCAAUACCGUACAGACUGGCUAGGCUCAAUUCAGUGAGAAACAUAAUCAAAAAACGAAAAAGAAACCAGCCAUGCAUAGGGCAACCACGAUUUUCAACAAAGUAAGGAACGAAAAACAAAGAAGGAGAC
rnacentral:lncRNA from 1 species